UACAGAGGUCCCGAGCGUUGUUCGGAUUCAUUGGGCGUAAAGGGUGCGUAGGCGGCGGGGAAAGUCUGAUGUGAAAUCCUGGGGCUCAACCCUGGAACUGCAUUGGAUACUUCCUUGCUAGAGUACUGGAGAGGAAACUGGAAUUUACGGUGUAGCAGUGAAAUGCGUAGAGAUCGUAAGGAAGACCAGUGGCGAAGGCGAGUUUCUGGACAGUUACUGACGAUGAGGCACGAAGGCCAGGGGAGCAAACGGG
rnacentral:rRNA from 1 species